rnacentral:sRNA from 1 species
UUUCCAGUCUUUCUCCUGUAAACACUGAGGAGACUUAGAAAGAACCAGCCAAAGCAAACAAAACCUCCCUUCGUGAUCCUGUUGGCCUUUGUAAGGAUGGAUGCACAUAAGGAGCAAAGACGUCUCCUGCCUGUAGCGAAUCACAUCCCUGUGACCUACUUUAGGGACAGGCUACCCACUUCUGCUGGGCUCUGGAUCACAGCAGAUACCCUGGUGGUUCUUAACAGGCUGGCCAUGGUGUCCACAUUCAGAGUCUAGUACCCACAGGUGUCUUGCUGCUUUCUUCCCUCUUCCCUAGGGUCCCUUUUGCCUGUCUAGUACUAGGACCCUGGGACUUGUGCGUCCCCAUCAGAACAGGAUCGUUGAUGAAAACAUGUAGUAAGACAAGUUUAGGCUGGAGUUCAAACCAGAUACAGAGAACCAACCGUGCUCUACCGAGGGCAUCCACCCUCAGCUUCUAGGAGAGGACCUAAAACAAGGAGCAGAGAAUGAACCCAGGGAAGCGUGAGCAAGAGCAUAGCCUAUGGUUUCUAUGGAAAUAUCAGUGGGAAAAAAGAAAAGGGCUUAGAAGGCUAUCCUUGGACCCAAAGGCAGUAUGACAAGGGCUAGAACCAGAGUACAAGUGGGAGGGGAGAGUGGGGCUCCGCUCUGGAGUGGCUGUUUGCCUAAGGAAGGUGUUCUAAAGCCCUUCGGCUACUGUUGGUCCUCAGGUUCACUGAGGCCUAGAUAUAAACAACAGAAGACAUGUUUCCUGAGCUGUACAUGAUGCUCCUUCCUCUUAGAGCUCUGUCCCUUCCUCCUUGCACUGGGGGCUUGGAGCCUGGAAAGAAGGAGAAGCCUUGAUGUCCUCAGAGCUCGGGAUCCAGGGCUCCUCUUGACCCCUGGUACUCUUCAGUGGUCCUCUUCUGACUGGUCAAACCCUCUCAGACACAGCACUUCAGGCCACUCGGAGAAGAAACCAGCUUUCUGAGAACUGCACAGAUACUAAACAGACGGGAGCCAGUUGAACCUAGAAAGAAGAGUGGCCUCUGACCCAGUGAAAACAAGGUAAGAUGUCCUGACUAAAAGCCACUGGCUAUGACUCCCUCCUGUAGGAGCAAGGGAGAAGGAAGACAUCAGCUAGCCAUCCAUCCUCCAUACCAGAGCUGCCCUGGUUCUUGGGUGCUGGGCUGCCAAGAGGUUCACUGUCUUUGUUCACUGAGGUUCUCACAACUUAAGAGGAGCAAUGGGAAUGGCUGGGUGACCCAAGGACAGGAUCACCUGUGUGUGCUCCAGGACUGUCAUAAAGACCCUCAGCUCCUGGUGGAAGCCAUUUAAAAUUUAUUAUGAGUUGCCCAAAUGCCAGAUACUAAGACCAAUGUGUGACCUCCAGGUACCUGGGUAGUAAGGAAUGACUUGGGGGUUAGCUUGGCUACAUUUCACAGAGACUAAAGGGCUAGGAUUUGAGCCAGA